AAAGACUCUAGAUGCCAUUUUGCCAAGGUUAUUCAUUUCGGUUAUUUAGUGGGAUUUACGGCGACUGUUAUUCACCUUUUCAAGAUGGCCGUGCUACGAACCGGGCGUUUGCUGGUGGAGGUAUAAAUUGACUGAUAUUCACGAUCGACGGAUGUCCUUCCGGUCCAGGACGGAUCUACACCGUCUUGAGAAAAAGGAUUUUGGGAUUUUUUCAAAUAUUUUUCAACCGGCGCCUCUUGCCACUCCGAUUCGCCUACGGCUCUCCGCGAAGGAGUCCUUCCAAGAUCAUCUGCAGGGAUCAUCGAUCGCCAUCAAUCCCCUGCCUAGUCUGAUCCUCACGUCGUCUUCGAAGUCCAGAUCUAAAGGCUCCACAAAGGACUCGUGCAUAAGAUCUUUAGAUCCUACGGACGAUCGAUCUUCAAUUUUAUUAUUAUUGUCGGGUACAGCCGAUUUGAAAAUUCUUUGAUUUUCAUAAGGCGAACCAGAAUCGGAAAUUAUUUUGAUAUACACCUUGAUGACUUUCCAUUCCGUAGUGGUCCUCGAUGGACCCAGAAUCUCUGGUGUUUUUUCCUCAGUGGGAUUACUCUGGUCAAUCCCACCUUUGAACAUGUCAUCAGUAAUUUUCAAGGCCAUGUAAUUACUUCCUGACGAAGAGGACGAGGAAGUUCCAUGCGGAUCAGGAUUUGAUGAUCCUGGCAACUGUGCUGGAGAUAUCACUAGCGUGUCCUGGGAGUCGCGUUUUGGUACUUCAUCUCUGGCUUCCUUCAGGAAACGUCUUCCUUUGGAAAUCUGUUCACUGAUCUGUUCAAGGUAUCAUUUGCGAUGAUGGAUACCAAUCGACACUACCUUACCUGUCUGGCUCUUUAGAGUACCAGUUUCGACGCGCAGCUUUGUCACUGUUGGCUCCUCCUCGGCUUCGUCAAGGUGGUACCGAUCCUGAUGUCUGAUGAUGAUCAUCAGAAGUUUUUAAAUGAUCCAACAAUUAUUUAUCGAUCGCCGACGAACCUUCUACCCUCGUAGUCACUCAAAAUUCCA